rnacentral:rRNA from 1 species
GACGGAGGGUGCAAGCGUUGCUCGGAAUCAUUGGGCGUAAAGGGUGCGUAGGCGGCUUUUUAAGUCUGACGUGAAAGCCCAGGCUUAGCCUUGGAAGUGCGCCAGAAACUGGAAGGCUAGAGUGCCGGAGGGGAGAGUGGAAUUCCUGGUGUAGCGGUGAAAUGCGCAGAUAUCAGGAAGAACACCAGUGGCGAAGGCGGCUCACUGGCCCGGUACUGACGCUGAGGCGCGAAAGCGUGGGGAGCAAACAGG